rnacentral:misc_RNA from 1 species
AACGCACAUUGCGCCCUUUGGUAUUCCGAAGGGCAUGCCUGUUCGAGCGUCAUUAUCACCCCUCAAGCCCCGUGCUUGGUGUUGGACGGCCGGUCGAGCGAUCGACCCCUCCGAAAGACAAUGACGGCGGCCUGUGGUUCCCCCGGUACACUGAGCUUCUUACCGAGCACGUACCGGACGAGGGCACCCGGGACCCCGGUCCUCUCCUUUCACUAGGAAACUUCUCAAGGUUGACCUCGGAUCAGGUAGGAAUACGCGCUGAACUUAA